ensembl:lncRNA
GUUAUAAAAAUAUACCCCAUCACCACCAAAGACACUCAUGUGUAAGAGUGCCUUUCCCUUCUGUCACCAAACCCAGGUCACCAUCACCCUUCACACCAUCAUACCCCCUAUUCCCGUCUGCCAGUUUCCAACAUGCGUGUCACAGAUGGAAAGGCAUCUAUCGGGUUCCUGCAGCCAGCCCGGCCCUAUGGCCUUGGAGGAACACGGGAAAAUCCCUGGUUCCCAUGAGACGAAGAGGGAUCUACCUCAGGGCAGGAUCUCUCGGCCAAAGGGGGAAUCUUUAAUCAGAAAGAGGCUCCUGAAUACACCCCUUUUGGCUCAGCUUCCUGGGGACAGUCUUUUUACAAACCUACGCAUCUGGGCUUGGAGAAGAGGCCACACCGUAUCUGUUGGGCUGCAACCUGACCUGAGGGACCCCACAUCGGAGCAGCUGGCACCAGAAAAAGAGCUUUCCUUGCAUUCUGAUGGAAGCUGCUGGGGGAGGACAAUCUCUCCCUUCUCCUAGAUCUGGGUGGAGAAAGGGGGCCGGCUGCACCUCAAAAAGCUCACACAUCAGCCCCGUCUUCCCACCCCAGCCUCAGCAGG